GUAGGCGUAGCGAAAGCGAGUCUGAAUAGGGCGAUUGAGUUCGAUGCAUUAGACCCGAAACCCGGCGAUCUAGUUAUGAGCAGGUUGAAGGUGCAGUAACAUGCACUGGAGGACCGAACCCACAUAUGUUGAAAAAUAUCGGGAUGACUUGUGACUAGGGGUGAAAGGCCAAUCAAGCCGGGAGAUAGCUGGUUCUCCGCGAAAACUAUUUAGGUAGUGCCUCGGAUGAAUACCAACGGGGGUAGAGCACUGGAUGGAUGCGGGGGGCGCGAGCCUUACCAAUUCUAACCAAACUCCGAAUACCGUUGAGUAAUAUCCGGGAGACAGACUGCGGGUGCUAAGGUCCGUAGUCGAGAGGGAAACAGCCCUGACCACCAGCUAAGGUCCCUAAAUCUUGUCUAAGUGGGAAAGCAUGUGAGACGGCCAAAACAACCAGGAUGUUGGCUUAGAAGCAGCCAUCCUUUAAAGAAAGCGUAACAGCUCACUGGUCUAAUUAAGCUGUCUUGCGGCGAAGAUGUACCGGGGCUAAAGACAAGUACCGAAGCUGUGGAUUUGAUCUUAUGAUCAAGUGGUAGCGGAGCGUUCUGUAAGUCUGUGAAGGGAGACCCGUGAGGGCUCCUGGAGAUAUCAGAAGUGCGAAUGUUGACAUGAGUAACGAUAAAGGGAGUGAGAGACUCCCUCGCCGAAAGUCCAAGGGUUCCUGCGCAAGGCUAAUCCGCGCAGGGUGAGCCGGCCCCUAAGGCGAGGCCGAAAGGCGUAGUCGAUGGGAACUAGGUUAAUAUUCCUAGGCCUGGUGGAUGUGACGAAUGGUGGUAGCAGUGAGGUCUUAUCGGAUUGAUCCUGCUGUGAAACUGUUCCAGGAAAUAACACCACCUUACAGACCGUACCCGAAACCAACACAGGUGGACUGGUAGAGUAUACCAAGGCGCUUGAGAGAACGACGUUGAAGGAACUCGGCAAA
rnacentral:rRNA from 1 species